rnacentral:lncRNA from 1 species
UGAAAAUCGAGCACCUAAAUAUAGCUAAGCUUAUAGAAAUUGAUGGAAUAUUUUCGUAAAUUCAAAAGCUACGUCCUUGGGGAGGUAAGUGCACGGUCACCUUGGACAGUCCUAGUCAAUGGUCACGAAAGUUUGGAGCAAGGAGUAAUUGUCGAACAAGAAUAAACUUUUUGUAUUCCAUGCCCACAGGACCUGUCGACUGCGCGGACUAGCACAUCAGGGUUCCCUGAGGCUACAUAUUCUCCUGGGGCAUCUGCACAGGAUUCAGCAGCAACAAGGCAGACAGCCAGGCAGCAGCCAGUCUUGCAGAACGCUGGCCUAGGCUCACAGGGUGGAGUUC